rnacentral:rRNA from 1 species
UACGUAGGGUGCGAGCGUUAAUCGGAAUUACUGGGCGUAAAGCGUGCGCAGGCGGUUCGUUGUGUCGGCGGUGAAAGCCCCGGGCUUAACCUGGGAAUGGCCGUCGAAACUGGCGAACUGGAGUGUGGCAGAGGGGGGUGGAAUUCCGCGUGUAGCAGUGAAGUGCGUAGAGAUGCGGAGGAACACCGAUGGCGAAGGCAGCCCCCUGGGCUGACACUGACGCUCAGGCACGAAAGCGUGGGGAGCAAACAGG